GAGCUCCAUGUGGUGGAUUCGUUCUGGGCCGCACGCGCGCUACACUGACCGGUUCAGCGUGUGCUCUCCUUGGCCGACAGGUCCGGGAAACCCGUUGAACCCCGGUCGUGCUAGGGAUAGGGAAUUGCAAUUAUUUCCCUUGAACGAGGAAUUCCCAGUAAGCGCGAGUCAUUAGCUCGCGUUGAUUACGUCCCUGCCCUUUGUACACACCGCCCGUCGCUACUACCGAUUGAAUGGUUUAGUGAGGUCCUCCGAUUGGACCCGGUCCGGGCGGCGACGUCCGAGCCGGCGUCCGAGAAGACGAUCUAACUUGAUCAUUUAGAGGAAGUAAAAGUCGUAACAAGGUUUCCGUAGGUGAACCUGCGGAAGGAUCAUUA
rnacentral:ncRNA from 1 species